CCUACGGGUGGCAGCAGUGAGGAAUAUUUGUCAAUGGCCGGAAGGCUGAACCAGCCAAGCCGCGUGAGGGAGGAAGGCGCAGAGCGUCGCAGACCUCUUUUGCCGGGGGACAAAAGGCCGGACUCGUCCGGUCCUGAGGGUACCCGGAGAAAAAGCAUCGGCUAACUCCGUGCCAGCAGCCGCGGUAAUACGGAGGAUGCGAGCGUUAUCCGGAUUUAUUGGGUUUAAAGGGUGCGUAGGCGGGCUUUUAAGUCAGCGGUAAAAAUUCGGGGCUCAACCCCGUCCGGCCGUUGAAACUGGGGGCCUUGAGUGGGCGAGAAGAAGGCGGAAUGCGUGGUGUAGCGGUGAAAUGCAUAGAUAUCACGCAGAACCCCGAUUGCGAAGGCAGCCUUCCGGCGCCCUACUGACGCUGAGGCACGAAAGUGCGGGGAUCGAACAGGAUUAGAUACCCCUGUAGUC
rnacentral:rRNA from 1 species